GUGUAAAAAAUACCGAUCAUUACGACAAAAACGCAUUCGGACCAUUCGUGGAUUAGUAAAUGUGCCCCUAGGUUGCACUUAUCCUUACCUCAGGAGCUCUAGUGAGAAAGCAAGGAGCAUUUAAGCCCCAACCAAUUGUACUACAUCCGGUUGCGGCUGCUGCACUUGGACCACUGAUUCUGAGAGCCUGUCUGACCACG